rnacentral:rRNA from 1 species
GACGAACGCUGGCGGCGUGCCUAAUACAUGCAAGUCGAGCGGACAGAUGGGAGCUUGCUCCCUGAAGUCAGCGGCGGACGGGUGAGUAGCACGUGGGCAACCUGCCUGUAAGACUGGGAUAACUUCGGGAAACCGGAGCUAAUACCGGAUACGUUCUUUCCUCGCAUGAGGAAAGAUGGAAAGAUGGUUUCGGCUAUCCCUUAACGAUGGGCCCGCGGCGCAUUUGGUAGUUGGUGGGGUAAUGGCCCACAAAGGCGACGAUGCGUAGCCGACCUGAGAGGGUGAUCGGCCACACGGGGACUGAGACACGGCCCAGACUCCGACGGGAGGCAGCAGUAGGGAAUCUUCCGCAAUGGACGAAAGUCUGACGGAGCAACGCCGCGUGAGCGAAGAAGGCCUUCGGGUCGUAAAGCUCUGUUGUCAGGGAAGAACAAGUGCCAGAGUAACUGCUGGCACCUUGACGGUACCUGACCAGAAAGCCACGGCUAACUACGUGCCAGCCGCCGCCGUAAAAC